rnacentral:rRNA from 1 species
UAGGGAAUCUUCGGCAAUGGACGAAAGUCUGACCGAGCAACGCCGCGUGAGUGAAGAAGGUUUUCGGAUCGUAAAACUCUGUUGGUAGAGAAGAACGUUGGUGAGAGUGGAAAGCUCAUCAAGUGACGGUAACUACCCAGAAAGGGACGGCUAACUACGUGCCAGCAGCCGCGGUAAUACGUAGGUCCCGAGCGUUGUCCGGAUUUAUUGGGCGUAAAGCGAGCGCAGGUGGUUUAUUAAGUCUGGUGUAAAAGGCAGUGGCUCAACCAUUGUAUGCAUUGGAAACUGGUAGACUUGAGUGCAGGAGAGGAGAGUGGAAUUCCAUGUGUAGCGGUGAAAUGCGUAGAUAUAUGGAGGAACACCGGUGGCGAAAGCGGCUCUCUGGCCUGUAACUGACACUGAGGCUCGAAAGCGUGGGGAGCAAACAGGAUUAGAUACCCUGGUAGUCCACGCCGUAAACGAUGAGUGCUAGAUGUAGGGAGCUAUAAGUUCUCUGUAUCGCAGCUAACGCAAUAAGCACUCCGCCUGGGGGAGUACGACCGC